ACGGAAGUUUGCAUUUUUUUUUUUUUAGAGAGAAAGGGAGAGAUAGGGAGAGAGGGACUGCGAUGUGCUGGAGACUGGCUCUCUCAAAUGUUCACGUCUUUAACCUUAAAAAAGAAAGACUUCUAUUUGCAGAAGAGUGGUUCUCAUGGAUGAUGAUGGAUGAUAAUAUGUACAACAUGGAAUAAAGUCUCUGUUAAGGAACAUGCACCUAUCUUGUUUUGACUGUAUCAGCUACAAUACCAGGACAAAGGAGAUGGGUUACUGGAGAUGCAGGUUGUUAACUUUUCCUGUCCAUGAAUCAGUUUUUGAUUUGAGUUUUUAGUAGGUGGAAUCAUCCAAAUUCUUCAGGAGAUGACGAGGGACACACCUCCAUCUUAUCUUGCAUUACUGCACAAUUACAACUGCAACAAAUGGCGCUAUGUCGCGGAAGUACUUGUGAAAGAUAUCCCUGUAACAACCCUAGACAGUGCGGUUGAUGUCAAUGCUACAAGCAAAAUCUCGAUGGCCAGUCAGCGGCAGUUAUUCAUGUUCAAGCCGGGACUGAAUGACUGCUUGCAGCUGAGGGCAACGGGGGCUUCUGAUCAUCUCCAUCAACUCCGCCGGUGGCGGGUGCUGUAGAAAGGGUUUUUGGAGUCCUCAGUGGCUUCAGUACUGUCUGAAAUCUAUCCUUGGGAGAAUCAGAUUUUUGCAAAAGUUGUGAAUAACCACGGAUAUGCAUAUGAUUCUGGUCAGCCUAAGGUCCAAUGAAUCAACCAACAGCCCCCAUCUUUCACUUCUUGAUAAUUAAUACCGAUGGAUAAAGAUUUGAAUCUUUGACUCAUAGAGAUUUGAACACACCGGGGCCUUUCAGUUAAAAAGUAAAGGAGAUAUUACUAGAGUGAGACAAGAAUGAUAGGGUCCAACUCUUUACGAGACACGAGUGAUAUUUGACUUGAUUUAAGUAAUUGAUAGGGGUGGCAAUUCGUGUUAUCGAUGGCUGGUCGACACGAUUAUUAAUCGUGUUUAAGAUUUUUGAUACAAACACAGUAGUAUGAUUAUUACAUGUGUAA